CAGCAAAAUACGACGUCUAACAAGUUUAUUCGGCUAAGUAUAGGCGCAGUGUGUUAUUACGCAAUGGGAGACAACGCGUGGUGACCAGUCUAACCUGUGCCGCGCAGUUGCAAAACGGGACCCUGCUUUGUUAGCAGAAUUACUUCAAAUGCAAAGGAACUGGGGAAGGUCGUUCUUUGGUUCCGGCUGCGGAGGGCUUCUUCUUUUUUCAGCAGGACUCGAGUCCUCAAAGGCUUUUUAGAGGAACGCGGCUCUCCCACUUACAAGACAGCUUUUUUUGCACGCGACGUACGCACGCUUCUCUAGACAACCCUGCGUUUUCGUCCGACCUGACCGGGUAACGCUGCACAACUUCCUGGCAAUCGGACAGAACGGGAAGUGGUUCCGCUCUGCGGAUACUAGUAACAAGCAGCUGUUCGCAACAGCAUGGCAGCGCAUUGUAAACUGGGGCUGAAGGAACGGGGAUCGUCUCAAUACAGACCGCCGGACCCAGCCAACAAGCGUUCUAUGCCCACGACUGCCAUUAGUGAUAGAAUUCCUAAUUGCUAACAAUGCGAUACUUGUUUCGAAUGUUGAGCGCCAAAUUCUCAACAUGUCGCACAACAUGUGAAGGCCACUUGACCACCAACAAUAUUCUUUGAUUCUUAAAGAUCUGCCAACAUUUUCCUCUGCGAAUGACAAUAUCCUCAUAGGUGUAACAUGCCCGGACGUGCCUAUGAACGACAAAAAAACGCGUAACAUCCCACCCGUAUGGGUUCAUGACACUAAUCUUCGACUCUGUGAGCAGGAAGAGACUAUGUAAAACGUCGACGAUCCGUUUUUCAGGGUCGAAUUCGCAGCUUCCACCGUGUGGCGUUAAAAAAACUGUUAAAAAACUGAUUACUCAGUGUAGGGGAAAAGCUCGAUUUCAUCUCUAUAUUGAUACCGUAAAGUGUAUAGUGAAGAAUAGAUUGCGACUAUGUAUUAGGACAAAGCUCGCGACAUCGAUUCAGGACAACAAAGUGUGUGGCAAGCGGUAUUUAGUUAUAAAUCGAUCUACAGCUAUGGUAAUCCGCUGUUAAGUUCAUAGACACAAUCGGGCUUAGACGAUGAAAGUGUCGACUGAAAAAUGGGGUCAUAUGCAAUUGGCGAUAGUUAAAAAAAAUCGUUGAAUAAGGUUGCCUUCGAUGACAAGUCGAUUUUGUUUUUUUCGUUAAGGUUUGAUUCGUAUGUAGAUAUCGAGACUGAUUUCAUUUCUCUGAAACUACGUGAAUACCAUACCGCUUCCUCAUUUACCUUCCCGGAUUGUGGCAUAAUUGGAGACAUACAAACAUUUGAACGAAGGCGUGGUGCAGCCUUGUUCUUCUCGACUGAUUUGUGACAGUAUAAAAUAGGCAUAUUCAAUUUGCUUUGAAAUAUUCUACAUAAUGUAGUACGUACUUGCUAACAACAAAGUGAGAUUCAUCAUUAAAAGAACGGGACGUCCCGAACAAAUCUACUAUUGUAUAUGCUUACGUGGUUGGACGAUGCAGGGAUGUUCUAUUCAGUUGCCAUGCAUCCCUCACCUAUGCAGAACACUCUUAUCAUAUAUAAAUAAAAUGGCCAGAAAUAAGAAAAACCUGUUAAUAAAUAAAAUAACAAUUGUUUUUUUAUAGGAAUCAUGCAAACAUCUGCAUUGUUAGAACUAUUCUUGUAAUAACUUUUUAGUCAAACGACUAUGCUAUAAUACUUAGGCUGUGUUUUACAUGGAAAAGUUCGUACUGUAAAAAGGCGAUUGUUAAAGUGUAUCAUCAUUUAAAACUCAAACACAUUGUAGUAUACACUGUGUAAGCGUUUCGGG
rnacentral:lncRNA from 1 species